ensembl:lncRNA
GGAGAGCCCCAUGGACAGAGGAGCCAGGCAUGCUACAGGCUACGGGGUCGCAAGAGUUGGACACGACUUAGCAACUAAACCACCAACCAUCACCACCAGCUGAAUGAUGCCAUGGAGACGGGCCUGGUGUCCAGGAAGUAGAGAUCCCAGCGGUCUGUCCCGGAGUGCCUUAUGACUCUGGAGCCAGGGUUGUGGGUGACGCUGCAGUGGAGCCUCCACACAACAGCCCCUGCGCUCACAGUUUGAUCACCCUAUGAGCAACCCCAUGCCUGAGGUCAGAGGCGGUGGCUGAGAGGAGCAACCCCAUGUCGAAGGAGCAGUGGCUGAGCAGGAGUGGCGAGAGAAGCUACGCCACGUUCAAGGUCAG